rnacentral:rRNA from 1 species
AAUAUUGGACAAUGGGCGAAAGCCUGAUCCAGCCAUGCCGCGUGUGUGAAGAAGGUCUUCGGUUUGUAAAGCACUUUAAGUUGGGCGGAAGGGUUGUGGAUUAAAACUCUGCACUUUUGCCGUUACCGAAAGACUAAGCACGGGCUCAUUUCGUGCCAGCAGCCGCGGUAAUACGAAGGGUGCAAGUGUUCAUAGAAAUUACUGGACUGAAAGCGCGCGUAGGUGGUUCAGAAAGAUGGGUGUAAAAUCCCGGGGCUUAACCGGGGAACUGCUUUCAUAACUGCAGCGCUAGAGUACGAUAGAGGGUAGUGGAAUUUCCUGUGUAGCGGUGAAAUGCGUAGAUAUAGGAAGAAACACAAGUGGCGAAGGCGACUACCUGGACUGAUACUGACACUGAGGUGCGAAAGCGUGGGGAGCAAAC